GAUGAACGCUGGCGGCGUGCCUAAUACAUGCAAGUCGAGCGAACGGACGAGAAGCUUGCUUCUCUGAUGUUAGCGGCGGACGGGUGAGUAACACGUGGAUAACCUACCUAUAAGACUGGGAUAACUUCGGGAAACCGGAGCUAAUACCGGAUGAUAUUUUGAACCGCAUGGUUCAAAAGUGAAAGACGGUCUUGCUGUCACUUAUAGAUGGAUCCGCGCUGCAUUAGCUAGUUGGUAAGGUAACGGCUUACCAAGGCAACGAUGCAUAGCCGACCUGAGAGGGUGAUCGGCCACACGGGAACUGAGACGCGGUCCAGACUCCUACGGGAGGCAGCAGUAGGGAAUCUUCCGCAAUGGGCGAAAGCCUGACGGAGCAACGCCGCGUGAGUGAUGAAGGUCUUCGGAUCGUAAAACUCUGUUAUUAGGGAAGAACAUAUGUGUAAGUAACUGUGCACAUCUUGACGGUACCUAAUCAGAAAGCCACGGCUAACUACGUG
rnacentral:rRNA from 1 species